GUGUAUAUAGUUCAAUUGGUAGAUCGGCUGCUUGUGACGCAGUUUGUUCCCUGUUCGAGCCAGGGUGUUCACC
rnacentral:tRNA from 1 species